AACAGAAAAAGGCAAACCUUUUGAAAAAAAGGGACGCAAAGCUACGGAUCUAAGGCAUUCUACUCGAAGCUAUGAUGGCCGGGCUGCCUGG
rnacentral:ncRNA from 2 species